GGCUUCGGCUCCGGCGCAAAGAGAGGCCCAAGUGAGAUUAGCUAGUUGGUAAGGUAACGGCUUACCAAGGCGACGAUCUCUAGCUGUUCUGAGAGGAAGAUCAGCCACACUGGGACUGAGACACGGCCCAGACUCCUACGGGAGGCAGCAGUGGGGAAUAUUGCACAAUGGGGGAAACCCUGAUGCAGCCAUGCCGCGUGUGUGAAGAAGGCCUUCGGGUUGUAAAGCACUUUCAGUUGUGAGGAAAAGUUAGUAGUUAAUACCUGCUAGCCGUGACGUUAACAACAGAAGAAGCACCGGCUAACUCCGUGCCAGCAGCCGCGGUAAUACGGAGGGUGCGAGCGUUAAUCGGAAUUACUGGGCGUAAAGCGCACGCAGGCGGUUUGUUAAGCUAGAUGUGAAAGCCCCGGGCUCAACCUGGGAUGGUCAUUUAGAACUGGCAGACUAGAGUCUUGGAGAGGGGAGUGGAAUUCCAGGUGUAGCGGUGAAAUGCGUAGAUAUCUGGAGGAACAUCAGUGGCGAAGGCGACUCCCUGGCCAAAGACUGACGCUCAUGUGCGAAAGUGUGGGUAGCGAACAGGAUUAGAUACCCUGGUAGUCCACACCGUAAACGCUGUCUACUAGCUGUGUGUGCCUUUAAGGCGUGCGUAGCGAAGCUAACGCGCUAAGUAGACCGCCUGGGGAGUACGGCCGCAAGGUUAAA
rnacentral:rRNA from 1 species